UCGAGCGGUAGAGAGAAGCUUGCUUCUCUUGAGAGCGGCGGACGGGUGAGUAAUGCCUAGGAAUCUGCCUGGUAGUGGGGGAUAACGUUCGGAAACGGACGCUAAUACCGCAUACGUCCUACGGGAGAAAGCAGGGGACCUUCGGGCCUUGCGCUAUCAGAUGAGCCUAGGUCGGAUUAGCUAGUUGGUGAGGUAAUGGCUCACCAAGGCGACGAUCCGUAACUGGUCUGAGAGGAUGAUCAGUCACACUGGAACUGAGACACGGUCCAGACUCCUACGGGAGGCAGCAGUGGGGAAUAUUGGACAAUGGGCGAAAGCCUGAUCCAGCCAUGCCGCGUGUGUGAAGAAGGUCUUCGGAUUGUAAAGCACUUUAAGUUGGGAGGAAGGGCAGUAAAUUAAUACUUUGCUGUUUUGACGUUACCGACAGAAUAAGCACCGGCUAACUCUGUGCCAGCAGCCGCGGUAAUACAGAGGGUGCAAGCGUUAAUCGGAAUUACUGGGCGUAAAGCGCGCGUAGGUGGUUUGUUAAGUUGGAUGUGAAAUCCCCGGGCUCAACCUGGGAACUGCAUUCAAAACUGACUGACUAGAGUAUGGUAGAGGGUGGGUGGAAUUUCCUGUGUAGCGGUGAAAUGCGUAGAUAUAGGAAGGAACACCAGUGGCGAAGGCGACCACCUGGACUAAUACUGACACUGAGGUGCGAAAGCGUGGGGAGCAAACAGGAUUAGAUACCCUGGUAGUCCACGCCGUAAACGAUGUCAACUAGCCGUUGGAAGCCUUGAGCUUUUAGUGGCGCAGCUAACGCAUUAAGUUGACCGCCUGGGGAGUACGGCCGCAAGGUUAAAACUCAAAUGAAUUGACGGGGGCCCGCACAAGCGGUGGAGCAUGUGGUUUAUUCGAAGCAACGCGAAGAACCUUACCAGGCCUUGACAUCCAAUGAACUUUCUAGAGAUAGAUUGGUGCCUUCGGAAAC
rnacentral:rRNA from 1 species